UAAUCAAAAUCGGAGCGAUGCCUUUUGGGUGACGCACCGGAGUUUGGGUCAUCUUAACUCUUUUUUUUAAGAGACCUAAAAUUAACAUUCUUUUUUGCUCACUUUGAGACGUACAUAAUUUUUUUUUUAUUCGUCUACCCUGGUGGCAAAAAUUUUAUUAGAUCGUGAAUCACGUAGAGUGGACUCGCGUCUAUAAUUAUCAUG
rnacentral:misc_RNA from 1 species